rnacentral:rRNA from 1 species
GACGAACGCAGGCGGCGUGCUUAACACAUGCAAGUCGAACGGUAAGGCCCUUCGGGGUACACGAGUGGCGAACGGGUGAGUAACACGUGGGUGAUCUGCCCUGCACUUCGGGAUAAGCCUGGGAAACUGGGUCUAAUACCGGAUAGGACCACUGCCUGCAUGGGUGGUGGUGGAAAGCUUUUGCGGUGUGGGAUGGGCCCGCGGCCUAUCAGCUUGUUGGUGGGGUGAUGGCCUACCAAGGCGACGACGGGUAGCCGGCCUGAGAGGGUGACCGGCCACACUGGGACUGAGAUACGGCCCAGACUCCUACGGGAGGCAGCAGUGGGGAAUAUUGCACAAUGGGUGCAAGCCUGAUGCAGCGACGCCGCGUGAGGGAUGACGGCCUUCGGGUUGUAAACCUCUUUCAGCACCGACGAAGCGCAAGUGACGGUAGGUGCAGAAGAAGGACCGGCCAUCUACGUGCCAGCAGCCGCGGUAA